rnacentral:rRNA from 1 species
UACAGAGGAUGCAAGCGUUAUCCGGAAUGAUUGGGCGUAAAGCGUCUGUAGGUGGCUUUUUAAGUCCGCCGUCAAAUCCCAGGGCUCAACUCUGGACAGGCGGUGGAAACUACCAAGCUUGAGUACGGUAGGGGGCAGAGGGGAAUUUCCGGUGGAGCGGUGAAAUGCGUAGAGAUCGGAAAGAACGCCCGUGGCGAAAGCGGCGAUCUGGGAAGAUACUGACGCUGAGGUGCGAAAGCGUGGGGAG